rnacentral:tRNA from 1 species
GCCGCCUUAGCUCAGUCGGGAGAGCGCGUUCUUGGUAUGGACGAGGCCGCGCGUUCGAUCCGCGCAGGUGGCA